CAGGGGAAGAGGGAUUGAAGGACGCCUGAACAGAACCCAAAAAGGAAAAAAUGCCACGUAGAGGAGGGAGGGGAGAACGUAACUCCCAUUGCCUAAAACCCGCCUCUGGCCACAGGCACGGACGGGGUUCGAACCCGCGAUCUUCGGUUUACGAGACCGACGCCUUACCACUUGGCCACCGCGCCUGACAGCCGAGCGAGUGGCGGAAGCUCUCAGUGGAGGGGGACGUGGCGCAGGCGCAGGCGCAGGCGCGGGGCGGCGGGCGGACACUCUCCGACACGCCGUCUCCUGGGCCGGCGCCAUGGGAGCCGAAAGCUGGGGAGAAGCCCUGCGCCCCAUGGGCGCCAAACCCGUGCUCCGGGCCGCGGGGGGCGCAAGUUGGGGGUCUGAGAGGCAAAACCCUCUCCUAGCACCCCGCCCGGGCCUCGGGCAGGGUGAACGCUGCCCACGUCCCCUGAGACGCGGGAACCUCGCCCCAAGCGCCGCUGCGGGCUCCCGCGGAGGGUCGCGAUAGGGCGAAGCGGGGGAAGGGCGCCGAGCCACGAGGCUGAGGGCCAGGGCUGGUGAGAAGCUCGGAGAUGCGCCGAAGCGGGCUGACGCAGGCGGAGCACCGGCCGGGAGAGAACUGAAACCCUACCCGUCCAACGACCUUUCCCUUUUUCUUCCUCUGGAACCUGAAACAAUCAUUCUACUUUUGGAGGCGUGCCUUAGAUGUGGCACCUAAGGGGUUGAACUCAGGACCUUGCAUAUUUCAGGCAGGCACCGGCACCACCGAGCUAAAUCCCUGGCAGUUCAGACUGAUUUUGAGCUCAUCGUGUAGCCCACCCCAGGCUGGCCUCAAACUCGAAGCAGUCCUCCUGCCUCUGCCUCCUACGUGCUGGGAUUACAGUUCUGCUGUGACCCUGAAACUCUGACACAGUAAGAAAGAGAUGAACUAGCAAGUCAUGAAAACACACAGAAGAACCUUAAGUCUGUAUCAUGAAGUGAAAGGAACUUCGAGGCUCGUGUGUUGGAAGCUUUAGACCCAUGUGGGCUUUCAGGAGAGGGGCCUAGGAGCUGCCGCCCACAGUGGGUUAGUGCUGCUGUCCUGGAGCAGGGUCCUUGCCAGGUGAUCCAUUUAGCUCCCACUCGCCUUCUCUGCUCAUCUACCACGAGAUGCCAUAGAGCAGCAAGAAGGCCCUUGCCAGAUGCCAACCCUUCUAGCUGCUUCCUAGCCACUAGAAGUACAAGACUGUAAACUUCUGUGUAUCAUAAAUUCCUUCGUCUGAUACCUGUAAUCCCUUGGGAGGCUGAGGCAGGCAGAUCGACACAAGUUUGAGGCCAACCUGGACUACAUAGUGAAUUCAAGGCCAGCCCAAAUGACAUAGUGAGAUCUUGUCUCAAAAAAAUAAAAUAAAUUAUGGCAGCGUGACACAGACUAAGACAGAUGCCAAUCUGAAAAGGUUACAGACUACAUAAUUCUGUGAUGUUCUGGAAAAGGCAAAACUAUGGAGACAAUCGAAAGAUCAGUGGUUUCCAGGAGUUGAGCAGAGGGCAGGAUGAACUGUAGAGCAGAGACAAUUUUUAGGAAGGUGAAACUAUUCUGGCUGCUGCUGUCAUGGAAGAUACACGUUGUUACACGUGUGUGGAAAUCCAUGGGACACGCGUCACUGGCAGGGGGCCCUUAGGGUAACAAGGUGCUAGUGUAGGUUCAGCAGUGGUAACGAAUGUACCCUGGUGGGUCAGGAUGGGGAGGGAUGGGGCACGGACAUAUGGGAACUGCUUUCUGCUCAGUUUUGCUGUGAACAUGAAAUUACUCUAAAAAAUAAAGUUUAC
ensembl:lncRNA